rnacentral:SRP_RNA from 1 species
GGUCCGGAACCUGUGCAAUUUUCAGUCUGCGAACCGCGUCAGGGCCGGAAGGCAGCAGCGCUCACCAGAUCCUGAAAUGUGCCGCAGGGACCUCCGGGCCGCG